GGUCUUAUGAUUAAUAAUAUAAGAUCUGGCCUGCUCUAUGUGUAAUAAAUGGCCGCGGUAUAUUGACCGUGCGAAGGUAGCAUAAUAAUUAGGCUAUUAAUUGUGGUCUUGAAUGAAAGGUUAGACGAGGGAAAUACUUUCUUAUAUGCAUUGUUGAAUUUAAAUAAUUAGUAAAAAUGCUAAUAUGAUAUAAAAAGACGAGAAGACCCUAUUGAGUUUUAUAUUUAUUUUAUUUAUUAUAUUUGAUUGGGGCGAUAAUUAAUAAACAAUUUAUGUAAUUGAUCCACUAUUAGUGAUUAUUAGAAUAAAUUACCAUAGGGAUAACAGCAUAAUUUGAUUGGAGAGUUCUUAUUGAUAUUCAAGUUUGUGACCUCGAUGUUGGAUUAAGAUUCCUUUUAGGUGCAGAUGCUUAAAUAGGUAGACUGUUCGUCUAUUAAAUUCUUACG
rnacentral:rRNA from 1 species